GACAGCGGCUUGACUCUGCAGUUUAUUUACAAAAAUACAUUUUGUUAAAUUGCAACUUGUUUUGUUGAGAUUUGAGUUGAACAAGGUCCAAGUGAAAGCGCAUAUGAAAUCACAAAAGAACUGAGGUGGCACUUCGUUUUGAUGACAGCAGGUGAAAAAUACCAGUGGGGUGCCAUGAAGCAAGAUGAUACUCAAGCGGAGCCAAUAAGACCGAUAGAAUACCCAUCGAAGCUUCCGAAGCGUUAAGUGCUCCAAACAAAGACUGCGAUGUUGACAUUGUGGAAGAAGCAGCAUCUGUACAAAUAUGGGGACAACAGCAACGCAUCUCGUUUACUUGAUUGAGAAAACUUCACUCGGUUUCCUCAGGAGCGUGCAGCGUAUAUAAACGGUGUUCAUUACUUUGAAUUUAUCGGAAACGUACGCUGCAAGAACAUGAAGGAGCGCUUGCUGAAUCAUAACAUGUGGAUUUUCCGGCAAAUGUAAAGCGAUUUGGUUUCAAGCUCCACAUUUUUUCUUCGUUGACGCCACCUAAAUAAACGUCUCAAGGUGCAGAAAGCGAAGGAGAACAUGUUGUGAUAUAGUCGAAUAAAGCGACUUUCUGAUAUGGUAAAAAAAAAUUUAGUUAUGGUCAUAAAAUAUCCUUUUACUGUGGUAUUGGACAUACAAAUGUUGGGACUCCAAGGAUAUUUACUUUUGAUUAAUAACACUUUGAGUGAACGCAGAAAAUCGCAAAGCGUAAAUGUAACGUAGCAGCGCAUAUAGAGAUGUGGGCGAGCACGCGCAAGGUAAUGCAAGCAAAUAAUAAACACGUGAGCGCGCCGCAAAACGAGCAACCAACCAACUGGUUACUACUCCGAUCAACAAGGUGCCUGAAGAAAUUUCGUAGUAGCGGCGGCGACCGUGCAACCAAUACAGCGGGCAGGCCGACAAAUAGAUGGACAGCAACCAGAAAGUAGCCACCAAAUGCGCGACGAAUGUAGGCACUUCGACCGGCCACGUGUGACUCAAUAAUCGACUUGACGAGUAACCCUAGCGACA